UCAAGGAUCCCAGAGUCUUCACCAGUUCAGAGCACAGAGUCAUGUUCAUCUUUGAUGGUCUGGAUGAGUCUCGACUUCCUCUAGAUUUCUGCUCUAAUCCAAAGUGUUGUGAAGUGACAGAGCCAGCCUCGGUGGAUGUUCUGCUGACAAACCUCAUCGAGGGGAAUCUGCUUCCUUCUGCUCUCCUCUGGAUCACCACCCGACCAGCAGCAGCCAAUCAGAUCCCUCCUGAAUGUGUGGGCCAGGUGACAGAAAUAAGGGGAUUCAAUGACCCACAGAAAGAUGAAUACUUCAGGAAGAGAAUCAGUGAUGAGAACCUGGCCAGCAGAACCAUCACACACCUGAAGUCAUCCAGGAGCCUCUACAUCAUGUGCCACAUUCCAGUCUUCUGCUGGAUUUCAGCCACUGUUGUAGAGAGCACAUCACAACAAUUAGGCAUAGAUCAUGAAUCAAAAGAAUCAGAAGUAGAAAUGCCAAGGACUUUGACACAAAUGUACACACGCUUCCUAAUCAUUCAGACAAGCAUAAAACAUGUCAAGUACACAGACAGAGAAGAGACAGAUGAAGAGGUGAUUUUCAAACUGGGGAAACUGGCUUUCCAACAGCUGGAGAAAGGCAAUCUGAUAUUUUAUGAGGAAGAUCUGAAAGAGUGUGGCAUUGACAUCACAGAAGCAUCAGUGUACUCAGGAGUGUGUACACAGAUCUUCAGAGAAGAGGCUGGGCUGUACCAGGGGAAGGUGUUCAGCUUUGUGCAUCUGAGCAUUCAGGAGUUUCUAGCAGCUCUCUAUGUGUUCCUCUGCUUCAGCAACAGAGAGAGAAACAUGGCUGACCAACGGCAAACCUCUCAGCUCUCUGCUCUGUUCAGAGCUCCAACACUUCAUGACCUACUCAAGACUGCAGUGGACCUGGCCUUAUACAGUACAAAUGGCCACCUGGACCUUUUCCUCCGCUUCCUUCUUGGCCUCUCCCUAGCGUCCAAUCAGAAUCUCUUGAAGGACCUUCUCCCACAGAGCAGCAGCCAAUCAGAAAGCUCAGAGCAAACAGUGCAGUAUGUCAAACAGAAGAUCAGAGAUCAGAGUAGCUCAGACAGAAGGAUCAACCUGUUCUACUGUCUGAAUGAGCUGAAUCACCAUGCUGUAGUGGAGGGCAUUGACAGACACUCAGGAGCUCUAUAUGUAGACAUGCUCUUACCAGGAGAGUGGAAGACUGUGAUAUUUACGUUUAAGAUGUCAGAAGAGCAGCUGGCUGAGUUUGACCUGCAGAAGUUCAUAAAGACACCAGAGAAUGAUCAAACCGAACUCCUCAGUCCAGAUGAAGUUCUUCAGAAGCUGCUGCCAGUGGCCACAAUAUCCACAUCAGCUCGGCUUAAAGGCUGUGAUCUUACAGAGAGGAGCUGUUCCUAUCUGGCCUCUGCUCUGAACUCACACUCAUCUAGUCUCAGAGAGCUGCACCUGAGUGAGAAUAAGCUGCUGGACUCAGGAAUGGAACUUUUAUGUCCCGCUCUUAGUAAUCAAAACUGCAAACUGGAGGAACUCUGGCUGUAUGACUGUAAGCUGACUGAGAAGAGCUGUUCCUAUCUGGCAUCUGCCCUGACCGCACACUCCUCAAGUCUCACACUGCUUGACCUGGGUGGCAAUAACCUGGACUCAGGAGUGAAACUGUUAUGUUCUGCACUUUGUCAUCAGCACUGCAAACUGGAAGAACUACAGCUGAAUGGCUGUAAUCUGACAGAGGAGAGCUGCUCCUAUCUGGCCUCUGCUCUGACAUCACACUCUUCAAGUCUCAGACUGCUGAAUCUGUGUGACAACAUCCUAAUUAGUAAAUCAGCUGUAGAGCCGCUCUGUGCUCUAGUGAAGGACUCACGCUGUACACUAGAGAAGCUGCAGUGAGUAAAUAUCUAAACAUGUCACUCAGGUCUUUAGGACAUGAGCCCAACCUGCCUCUUUUAUUUGUGUCCUCUCUCUAUUCUGUCUGUUUCCUCCAUCUCCUCCUCCAUCAUUGAGUCCAUCCCUCCAUCUCCUCCUCCAUCAUUGAGUCCAUCCCUCCAUCUCCUCCUCCAUCAUUCACUCAGAUGGAGUGAAUCUGGGAAAAGACGAGAGUUGAGACAAAUGACAUGAGAGUGGGAUCCAUCACACACACACACACACACACACACACACACACACUCACUAUAUAUAUACAGUAAUACAUUCAGAUGUUUCCAUGUUGUGCUCUCAGUCUCUGCUCUAAUUCAUCCCAAAGCUUUUGAAAUCAGGCCUCUGUACAGGCCAGUCAAGUUCAUCCACACUAAACUCUGUCAUCCAUGUCUUUAUGGACCUUGCUUGGUGAAUUGGUUCACGGUCAUGUUGGAACAGGAAGGGGCUAUCCUUGAGCUUGGCUUGGCCCCUUCAGUGAAAGGAACUCUGAGUUUCUUAGCAUUUCUCAUCAUUAAUCCGUUUAAUCCCACAUUUUUCCCAUGAUUUGGGGACAUUGUCCCCAGUCUGCACCAAAGCGACUGAUAAAAUCUGCAAAAGUGCUCAUUAAAGCUUCAUCAUCAGCACCCUCUGUUUCAUCCCACGUGCCUCUUCAUCCAGACAGCUGUAGGUGUGUUUUUGGCGCCCCCUCUUGUCAGGACACUGUCACUGUCUCACUGUGUGUUAUGCCACACUAAUUCCACAUGUGCCUCUUCAU